UUUUUUUUUUUUUUUGCAAUUUUUUUUUUAGCUCAUCAACAAUUGCUGGUGUUAGUGUAUUUUAUGUGUGGCCCAAGACAAUUCUUCUUCCAAUGUGGCCCAGGGAACCCAAAAGAUUGGACACACCUGCUCUAGGGUAUCUCAUGGUUCAUUCAUUCAAGGACCAUCUACCCCGUCCAAUAAUUUGUUCUUGAAAAUGUCAUGUAAAGGUUUAGGACUAUUGUCAUAUUUGAGGAAAUCACUAUUAAAUUUCUUUCACGUAAGAAUUUUAAGAUCUGGCCAUGCACAGUGGCUCACACCUGUAAUCCCAGCACUUUGGGAUGCUGGGGUGGGCAGAUCACUUGAGGUCAGGAGUUCGAGACUGGCCAACGUGGUGAAACCCCGGUUCUACUAAAAAUACAAAAAUUAGCCAGCCAUGGUGUUGCACACCUGUAAUCCCAGCUACUCAGGAGGCUGAGGCACAAGAAUCCUUGAACCCCAAAAGGCGGAAGUCACAAUGAGCCGAGAUCUCACCACUGCCCUCCAACCUGGGUAACAGAACAAGACUCCAUCUCAAAAAAAAAAAAAAAGUUUUAAGAUCUCAGGGCAUUUCACAUUUUAUUGUGCUAUGACUAAUCAGCAAUAUUACUUGUUAAAUUGAUGACAUUUAUUAAUCAGUUCGUUAUUGAUGUCCUCCUUGUGGUCAUGUAUUGAGUUUGUAAUAUCUCCACUGAUGCCUAUAAAUUAUGCCAAAUUAGCAAGGAAAUUAAAGCUUUUCCCAAUGUAUUUGUAAGAUUUACUCUUCAUUAGUUGACUCAUCCAACAAUCUGAGAGCCUCUCCUUUUACUUCUAUUCAAAUUUAUCUCUUCCUCUUCAUAAAUUACUGCUUUUGAUUGAUAUGAAAAAAUUUAGGGAUGGUGAAGACAGCUUUUUCUCUGAUGGGAUUAAAGAAGUGAACUGCAUGCUGCACAUAUUCUAUGACUCCUUCAUGUUACUACACCUGGGCACUUUGACACAGUGGCUGUUGGGAGCUGAUAUGGUUUGGCUGUGUCCCUGCCCAAAAUCUCAUCUUGAAUUAUAAUAAUACCCAUAGGUCAAGGGCAGGACCAGGUGGAGAUAAUUGAAUCAUGGAGGCAGUUUCCCCUAUGCUAUUCUUAUGAGAGCGAGUGAGUUCUCAUGAGAUCUGAUGGUUUUAUAAGGGGCUUCUCCUUUUGCUCAGCACUCAUUCUGUCUCCUACCAGCCUGUCAAGAAAUGCCUUCUGCCAUGAUUGUAAGUUUCCUAAGGCUGCCCCAGCCAUGCAGAACUGUGAUUCAACUGUGAGUCAAUUACAUCUCUUAUAAAUUACUCAGUCUUAGGUAUUUCUUCAUAGCAGUGUGAGAAUGGACUAAUACAGGAGCGUUCAUAGAAGCCAUUGCUACACUCCAGCAAUAACUUAAUGCUGCAUGGAAGUGACCAUGAAUCACAUGAACAUGUCCCAUUAAAUGCAAACCCAAGUACCCCCAACUGCAUUUCUGCUUAACUGGAUCCC
ensembl:lncRNA